GAUGAACGCUGGCGGCGUGCCUAAUACAUGCAAGUCGAGCGAACAGACGAGGGGCUUGCUCCUCUGACGUUAGCGGCGGACGGGUGAGUAACACGUGGAUAACCUACCUAUAAGACUGGGAUAACUUCGGGAAACCGGAGCUAAUACCGGAUAAUAUAUUGAACCGCAUGGUUCAAUAGUGAAAGACGGUUUUGCUGUCACUUAUAGAUGGAUCCGCGCCGCAUUAGCUAGUUGGUAAGGUAACGGCUUACCAAGGCGACGAUGCGUAGCCGACCUGAGAGGGUGAUCGGCCACACUGGAACUGAGACACGGUCCAGACUCCUACGGGAGGCAGCAGUAGGGAAUCUUCCGCAAUGGGCGAAAGCUUGACGGAGCAACGCCGCGUGAGUGAUGAAGGUCUUCGGAUCGUAAAACUCUGUUAUUAGGGAAGAACAAAUGUGUAAGUAACUAUGCACGUCUUGACGGUACCUAAUCAGAAAGCCACGGCUAACUACGUG
rnacentral:rRNA from 1 species